AUGAACGCUGACAGAAUGCUUAACACAUGCAAGUCUUUGGCGAAGCUGUGCUUGCACAGCCUAGCCAAGGCGGACGGGUGAGUAACGCGUAAGGAACUUGCCCUGCAGUCAGGGAUAACAGACGGAAACGACUGAUAAGACCUGGUAAAGUCAGGCGGACUCAUGUCCAGCCUGAUGAAAAGAGAUGCUGCAGGAGAGCCUUGCGUCCUAUUAGCUUGUUGGUGGGGUAACGGCCCACCAAGGCGAUGAUAGGUAGCCGGCCUGAGAGAGUGGACGGCCACAAGGGGACUGAGAUACGGCCCUUACUCCUACGGGAGGCAGCAGUGGGGAAUAUUGGACAAUGGGGGCAACCCUGAUCCAGCAAUUCGGUGUGCACGAUGAAGGUUUUCGGAUUGUAAAGUGCUUUCAGCAGGGAAGAAAAAAUGACGGUACCUGCAGAAGAAGCGACGGCUAAAUACGUG
rnacentral:rRNA from 1 species